UGAGUAACUGUGCUCCUAGACUGUUUAGCCGGUUUUCCUUGGUUUGCCUUCACCGGUAGGCCAUGGUGGCUGGCGUGUUUACCUUGAAUAAAUUAGAGUGCUCAAGACAGGCGUUUUGCUUGUAUAUCCGUGCAUGGAAUAAUGGAACAGGACUUCGGUUCAUUCUGUUGGUCUUGGAACCGAUGUAAUGGUUAAGAGGGACUGACGGGGGCAUCCGUAUCGCUGCGUGAGAGGUGAAAUUCUUGGACCGCAGCGGGACGUCCAACUGCGAAAGCAUUUGCCAAGAAUGUCUUCAUUAAUCAAGAACGAAAGUCAGAGGAUCGAAGGCGAUUAGAUACCGCCCUAGUUCUGACCGUAAACGAUGCCAACUAGCGAUCAGGUGCUGAUAGUUUAGUCGCGCCUGGGAGCUUCCCGGAAACGAAAGUCUUCGGGUUCCGGGGGUAGUAUGGUUGCAAAGCUGAAACUUAAAGGAAUUGACGGAAGGGCACCACCAGGAGUGGAGCCUGCGGCUUAAUUUGACUCAACACGGGAAAACUCACCCGGCCCGGACACUAGUAUGAUUGACAGAUUGAUAGUUCUUCCCUGAUUUGGUGGUUGGUGGUGCAUGGCCGUUCUUAGUUGGUGGAGUGAUUUGUCUGGUUUAUUCCAAUAACGAACGAGACUCUAACCUGCUAAAUAGUUUCCCGGUAGCUUAGCCGGCUGAAACUUCUUAGAGGGAUCAGUGG
rnacentral:rRNA from 1 species